GACGAACGCUGGCGGCGUGCUUAACACAUGCAAGUCGAACGGAAAUGCCCUGCUUUUGUGGGGUGCUCGAGUGGCUAACGGGUGAGUAACACGUGAGUAACCUGCCCUUGACUUUGGGAUAACUUCAGGAAACUGGGGCUAAUACCGGAUAGGCGCUCCUGCUUCAUGGUGGGGGUUGGAAAGUUUCGGCGGUUGGGGAUGGACUCGCGGCUUAUCAGCUUGUUGGUGGGGUAGUGGCUUACCAAGGCUUUGACGGGUAGCCGGCCUGAGAGGGUGAACGGACACAGUGGGACUGAGAUACGGCCCAGACUCCUACGGGAGGCAGCAGUGGGGAAUAUUGCAAAAUGGGCGGAAGACUGAUGCAGCAACGCCGCGGGCGGGAUGACGGCCUUCGGGUUUUAAACCGCUUUCGCCUGUGACGAAGCGUGAGUGACGGUAAUGGGUAAAGAAGCACCGGCUAACUACGUG
rnacentral:rRNA from 1 species